rnacentral:misc_RNA from 1 species
UCCCCGUUACCGGGGCAGUCUGACUAGAAAAAUUCAACUAGCCACAAGGGUUGCGCUCGUUGAUGGACUUAACCAAACAUCUCACGACACGAGCUGACGACGGCCAUGCAAGAUCUGUCACCGAGUUCAAUAAAGCACUCUCGUCUUUCGACGAAAUUCUCGGGAUGUCAAGCCCUGGUAAGGUUCUUCGUUUAUCAUCGAAUUAAAGAACACGCUCCACCGCUUGUGCGGGUCCCCGUCAAUUCCUUUAUGUUUUAGCCUUGCGGCCGUACUCCACAGGCGGGAUGCUUAACGCGUUAGCUUCGCUACGGAGGGGGUCGAUACCCCCCACAGCUAGCAUCCAUCGUUUACGGCGUGGACUAC